rnacentral:rRNA from 1 species
UACGUAGGGGGCAAGCGUUGUCCGGAUUUAUUGGGCGUAAAGCGCUCGCAGGUGGUUUGUCGCGUCGUGCGUGAAAGACCCCGGCUCAACUGGGGAGGGUCGUGCGAUACGGGCGAACUGGAGGCCAGUAGGGGGAUGCGGAAUUCCGGGUGUAGUGGUGGAAUGCGUAGAGAUCCGGAGGAACACCAGCGGCGAAGGCGGCAUCCUGGACUGGUCCUGACACUCAGGAGCGAAAGCGUGGGUAGCAAACAGG